rnacentral:lncRNA from 1 species
UCAAUGGUUUAGAAUGUACCAUGCUUUCUGUGACACCAGAGGCUGGGUCAGAGACCCAUCAGAAUUCGUAGCUCUUUCAUUGUACUUUAAAGACAGCCACUCAAGUCCCAAUCUGUGUGGGUAUUCAUUAGGGAGACUGGGACAGCAUUGGAACUUCAUGCUGUAGUGCUGGUGAGCUGAUAAGGUAGUGUUCUCGUAGCAACUGGUUUUCUUUUACACAUCUACCUGGAUAAUCAUUUUAAUAACAUCUAACAGAUAAUGAUAGCCAGGAAACGGGGCAGAAUAAUGAUUAACGAAUCCGUGUUUAUCCAGUGUACCCAACCCAGAAACAAACCCUCAUGGAAAAGUUCAGUCCUUGUGUAUUCAGAUCUGCUUUUAAGGUGUAGAACACUACAAGUUCAUUGCUCUAAAUUUGCCUCAGAACAUAGUAACUUUGUCCUUCAGCCAGUUUUUGCCAGCGUUUCACUUUAACUAAUGGGUGGUCUAUUUAAAAAAAAAAAAAAAAAGACAAAACAGUUCUUAAAUGUGGCUUCACACCAUUAGCUUUGGACUCCAACAGAGGGUUUGGGAAAUUUCCUGGGGCCUAUGUGUAAAUUUGAAAUUACAGGAAAAGACACAAAGGAAUAGGGAAAGCUGUGGUUAUCCUGCUUCCUGGAGCGGGUUAGUAUCAGUCCAGCCUCGCAAGGCUGUGUUCUGAGAAUUUUCUCACCUUACCCAUGGUGGGAGUGAGCAGGAGAUAACACACUUUAUUUGCUUUUUCUGUUGCUGCAGAACGAGAGACAAAGCUUAAGAAAGGCCAUACCUCGGCAGACAGAAAGAGGAAGGCGCGGUCUAGAGCUCUGAGGGU